rnacentral:rRNA from 1 species
CCUACGGGUGGCUGCAGCGGGGAAUAUUGGACAAUGGGCGAAAGCCUGAUCCAGCCAUGCCGCGUGUGUGAAGAAGGCCUUCGGGUUGUAAAGCACUUUCAGUGGGGAAGAAAGCCUUGGGGCUAAUACCCUCGAGGAAGGACAUCACCCACAGAAGAAGCACCGGCUAACUCCGUGCCAGCAGCCGCGGUAAUACGGAGGGUGCGAGCGUUAAUCGGAAUUACUGGGCGUAAAGCGCGCGUAGGCGGUCUGAUAAGCCGGUUGUGAAAGCCCCGGGCUCAACCUGGGAACGGCAUCCGGAACUGUCAGGCUAGAGUGCAGGAGAGGAAGGUAGAAUUCCCGGUGUAGCGGUGAAAUGCGUAGAGAUCGGGAGGAAUACCAGUGGCGAAGGCGGCCUUCUGGACUGACACUGACGCUGAGGUGCGAAAGCGUGGGUAGCAAACAGGAUUAGAUACCCCAGUAGUC